rnacentral:rRNA from 1 species
CACGUAGGGUGCGAGCGUUGUCCGGAAUUACUGGGCGUAAAGAGCUCGUAGGUGGUUUGUCGCGUUGUUCGUGAAAACUCACAGCUCAACUGUGGGCGUGCGGGCGAUACGGGCAGACUGGAGUACUGCAGGGGAGACUGGAAUUCCUGGUGUAGCGGUGAAAUGCGCAGAUAUCGGGAGGAACACCGGUGGCGAAGGCGGUUCUCUGGGCCUUGCCUGACGCUGAGGAGCGAAAGCGUGGGGAGCGAACAGG